UCUUAUCCAGAGAGGUGGAGGGAUCGGCCCUACGAAACCUCGGCAACCGGCGCACACGCGCAAGGUGCCAAUUCCGGCAGACAAUGUCUGGGAGAUGAGA
rnacentral:ncRNA from 1 species